rnacentral:rRNA from 1 species
UACGAAGGGGGCUAGCGUUGCUCGGAAUCACUGGGCGUAAAGCGCACGUAGGCGGAUCUUUAAGUCAGGGGUGAAAUCCUGGAGCUCAACUCCAGAACUGCCUUGAUACUGGGAUCGUCGAGUCCGGAAGCGGUGAGUGGAACUCCGAGUGUAGAGGUGAAAUUCGUAGAUAUUCGGAAGAACACCAGUGGCGAAGGCGGCUCACUGGUCCGGUACUGACGCUGAGGUGCGAAAGCG